ACAAUACCAUCAUCUCCUACCCCACCAUCAUCUCCUACACCACAUAUAACCUUCACCUACCAUGUUGAUCCAUUCAUUACCCAUGACUUCCACAUUGACGGGGAGGGGGAGGGCCAGGUCCAUGCACCUACCAGAGGGACAAGUAGGGGUAGAGGUUGUGGCGGCCGUCGUGGUGUAAGUAGAGGCCGAGGGCGAGGGCGAGGGCAACGCCAAGCAAUAGACCAUGACAAUAAUGCAGCGGAUGAUGGCGUUUCACAGCUUAGUGCCGUAUGUGAAAGUGUGCCGGAGGUGGUAUCAAAUGAUUGUACUGCAGCCAUUGGUGAUGUGCAGCCAGCUUCUAUUGAAGCGGGCGAGGGAGUCGGACGUGCGGCAGCGCAAGAUAUACUGAGAGUAUAUAGUAAGAGACCCAGGAGACAAACCCAUGGAAGGGGUUGUGGAACAGGGGGAAAAUUAGGACAUUAGGAACAACCAGCAUUGGAAGGGGUAGCUGCUUGCUGUGUUGCUGGUUGUUGGUUGCUUGCUGCUUCUUCAUUCUGGUUGCUGCCGAUUGUGUGUUGCUACUGCUGGCUUGGAUCAGUGAGCUGAUAAUUGGGACGAUGAUGGAAAUCUAGAGGCACUUAAAGUUGGUGCUGGUCAAGAAAAGCAGAAUCUCUCUAAAUGGUGGAAAUUUAGAACUUAAUUGACGUUCUGUAGUCUAUAUUGGUCUUGCAACAUCGGUCUAGGUUUGAAUUUUGGUCAACGUGCAAUGGGUAAAUCACCAGGAAAAUGGAUCAAAACCGUGCUUUUUGGGAAGAAAUCAUCCAAAUCUAAUUUUUCCAAAGGAAGAGAGGUACUGUGAAUGUAUUGAUCAAUGGGCAGCUAAAUUCUUGGAUGGGUUGUAGCUUGAAAAUGGAUUGAACUUAAUGAAAAUGUCUAUUUCUCAUAACCCUUUCUACCAGUUGAUACUUUUAAUUUAUUAGUUUUAACUUGCGUUUGCAAUUGCUUCAACUCAACAAGAUUUUCCACGCAUAUAGAAACUGUUUCCUAAUAUAUGCUUUGCAACACUUAACGAUAGGACAUGACAUGCCUUCUAAGGGAAGAAAAUUAAAAAAACCAUAUCUCCUAGACUGUUGCUUUGCCAAAGAGUGGCACCAUUGUUACCUAAAGGCUUUUAGAAAAUUAAAUUUGUAGAUUGAUCAAGGUCUUAAUAAUUGAUCUAGGCUAACAUUGUUCACUAGAAAAUGGGCAUAUGAAGUUGCAAAGUUAGACAUAAUUUUUAAA